GAUGAAGAACGUAGCGAAAUGCGAUAAGUAAUGUGAAUUGCAGAAUUCAGUGAAUCAUCGAAUCUUUGAACGCACAUUGCGCCCGUCAGUAUUCUGGCGGGCAUGCCUGUUCGAGCGUCAUUACGCCCCUCAAGUCCCCUGUGGACUUGGUGUUGGGGAUCGGCGAGGCUGGUUUUCCAGCACAGCCGUCCCUUAAAUUAAUUGGCGGUCUCGCCGUGGCCCUCCUCUGCGCAGUAGUAAAACACUCGCAACAGGAGCCCGGCGCGGUCCACUGCCGUAAAACCCCCCAACUUUUUAUAGUUGACCGCGAAUCAGGUAGGACUACCCGCUGAACUUAAGCAUAUCAAUAAGCGGAGGA
rnacentral:misc_RNA from 1 species